rnacentral:rRNA from 1 species
UACGGGGGGGGCAAGCGUUGUUCGGAAUUACUGGGCGUAAAGGGCUCGUAGGCGGCCAACUAAGUCAGACGUGAAAUCCCUCGGCUUAACCGGGGAACUGCGUCUGAUACUGGAUGGCUUGAAUCCGGGAGAGGGAUGCGGAAUUCCAGGUGUAGCGGUGAAAUGCGUAGAGAUCGGGAGGAAGGCCGGUGGCGAAGGCGGCGCUCUGGAACGCAACUGACGCUGAGACGCGAAAGCGUGGGGAGCAAACAGG